AGGCGCGUAGCUCAGUUGGUUAGAGCGCCACGUUGACAUCGUGGAGGUCGUUGGUUCGAUUCCAAUCGCGCCUACCA
rnacentral:tRNA from 1 species